UGCUCUAAGUAAAAACAAUUUAGAGUAACUCCUGCCCAGUGAUAAUUUCAACGGCCGCGGUAUCCUAACCGUGCAAAGGUAGCAUAAUCACUUGCCCAUUAAUUGUGGGCUAGAAUGAAAGGAUUAACGAAAUAAAAGCUGUCUCUAUAAGAUACCUAAAAAUUACCCUUUAACCGAAGAGUGUUAAAUAACGUCGAAGGACAAGAAGACCCUAUAGAGCUUAAUUAAAACAAAUACACAAAAUUUACUAAAAUUCGGUUGGGGCGACCAGGGAAAUUAUAAAUCAUCCCUAAAUAAAAGAUAAGUCAAUCUAAAUACUGACCCUUAAUCAAGAUCACUAGAACAAGCUACCUUAGGGAUAACAGGCUAAUCCUACUAGAGAGUUCUUAUCAAUAGUGGGGUUUGGCACCUCGAUGUUGGCUUAGGGAAUCUAUGCGGCGCAAAAGUCACAUAAAGAUGGUUUGUUCAACCAAUAACACCCU
rnacentral:rRNA from 1 species